rnacentral:rRNA from 1 species
AGUGAACGCUGGCGGUAGGCCUAACACAUGCAAGUCGAACGGCAGCACAGUAAGAGCUUGCUCUUACGGGUGGCGAGUGGCGGACGGGUGAGGAAUACAUCGGAAUCUACUUUUUCGUGGGGGAUAACGUAGGGAAACUUACGCUAAUACCGCAUACGACCUACGGGUGAAAGCAGGGGAUCUUCGGACCUUGCGCGAUUGAAUGAGCCGAUGUCGGAUUAGCUAGUUGGCGGGGUAAAGGCCCACCAAGGCGACGAUCCGUAGCUGGUCUGAGAGGAUGAUCAGCAACACUGGAACUGAGACACGGCCCAGACUCCUACGGGAGGCAGCAGUGGGGAAUAUUGGAAAAGGGGCGCAAGCCUGAUCCAGCCAUACCGGGUGGGGGAAGAAGGCCUUCGGGUUGUAAAGCCCUUUUGUGGGGAAAAAAAAGCAGCAGGUUAAUACCCCGCUGUUCUGGCGGUACCCAAAGAAUAAGCACCGGCUAAUUUCGU